GAAGGUAUAGCUCAAGUGGUAGAGUGCAUGCUUAGCAUGCAUCAGUUCCUAGGUUCAAUCUCCAGUAGCUCCU
rnacentral:tRNA from 1 species